GGUAAAUAUUGGCAAAUCUGGGGAAAUCCAGAGACGCAAAGCUAAAGGGGCUAAGGUUGUACAACUAUGCCAGCCAGUUGCCGAA
rnacentral:ncRNA from 2 species